rnacentral:rRNA from 1 species
UUGGAGGGCAAGUCUGGUGCCAGCAGCCGCGGUAAUUCCAGCUCCAAUAGCGUAUAUUAAAGUUGUUGCAGUUAAAAAGCUCGUAGUUGAAUUUCGGGAUUGACGUGACGGUCAUGCCUUAAGGGGUAUGAACUGUUACAGUUGAUUUCUCACCUUCUGGAGAAACUUGAUGUCCUUUAUUGGGUGUCUUGCGGAUCCAGGACCUUUACCUUGAAAAAAUUAGAGUGUUUAAAGCAGGCAUUUUUGCUCGAAUACAUUAGCAUGGAAUAAUAGAAUAGGACGGCAUGGUUCUAUUUUGUUGGUUUCUAGGAUCACCGUAAUGAUUAAUAGGGAUAGUUGGGGGCAUUAGUAUUCAAUUGUCAGAGGUGAAAUUCUUGGAUUUAUUGAAGACUAACUACUGCGAAAGCAUUUGCCAAGGAUGUUUUCAUUAAUCAAGAACGAAAGUUAGGGGAUCGAAGACGAUCAGAUACCGUCGUAGUCUUAACCACAAACUAUGCCGACUAGGGAUCGGAUGAUGUUAAUUUUUUAAUGACUCAUUCGGCGCCUUACGGGAAACCAAAGUGUUUGGGUUC